rnacentral:lncRNA from 1 species
AUGAUAAUAAUAAUAAUAAUAACUAAUAGAUUUAUUCAUAUAGUAUUUUAUUUUUAUAUAGAAAUAUUAUUAUAUAAUAUUUUAUUUAUAAAUUUGUAAUUAUUUAUUAAUAUUUUUAAAUAUAUAACUCUUAUAUAUUAUUAAUAUAAGUUUAUUAUAAUUUUAAAUAUAUUUAAUCUAUUAUUAAAUAUUAUAAAAAUAAUAUAUAUAGUAUAAUACCGAAUUUUUAAAAAUUAUAUAUAAAAAUUAUAUUUGAUCCCGAAUUUUUAAUUGGUGAACGUAUAAUACCUGUAUAAAUCACGUAUCCGAAUAACUGCCGAAUCCGUUUUUUAGCCGUAUUUUUCACUAAAUUUAAAAAUUAAAAGACGAAUUUUAUCCAAAUUAUAUCACUACUGAAUUUUUUUCGAAUCCGAAUUAACUAACGAAUUUAAAAAUUAAAAGACGAAUUUUAUCCGAAUUAUAUCCCUACCGAAUUUUUGCUGAAUCCGAAUUAACUAACGAAUUUAAAAAUUAAAAGACGAAUUUUAUCCGAAUUAUAUCCGUACCGAAUUUUUGCCGAAUCCGAAUUAACUAACUAUGCCUCCAGCUACCAAAGUUGGUUUAACUGCGUUCGAUCUCGAUGUGCUUAAUUAAUUAAUUUAUAUUUGAAGGGCAAAUAAGAAAAAUAUUUGCUAUAUAAAGGGUAUAUAAGAAAAGUUAGUUACGGUAGAAGGGUAUAUUGGAAUGGGCAAAAUGGUAAUUUUACAGAGAUAACGGCAGCUCACUAACGGAGCUUAACUCCAGGGGUAUAUUAGAAAGACUUGGAACAUAAGAAGGGUAUUUUCAAUAUUAGCCUUCUAAGAGUGGUAUAUAAGAAAACCGGGAACUUUUCAGGGGUAUAUAGGCAAUUGCCCCUAGAAAUAAAUUUAAAAAUAUUUUACAACAAGUAGAAAGAGCAUAGAGGUCAUUUCGCCCAAUUUUCACGAAGCCAAACCCACCGAUUUUUCGAACUCUUCGUUUCGCCGAACGAAGGUAUCCACAAGCCUCCUAGAACCCUAAGAAUGUAGGAACAAGGGUUACUCGAAUGAAAUGAACAACCAAAAGCUCAAACACUAACCAUCUCUUACUAAGGGC